rnacentral:rRNA from 1 species
GACGAACGCUGGCGGCGUGCUUAACACAUGCAAGUCGAACGGAAAGGCCCUGCGCUUGUGGCGUUCUCGUGAGGCGAACACGUGAGUAAAACGUGUGGAACCUGUCCUUGUCUUUGGGAUAAAAUCUGGAAACUGGGGCUAUUAUCCCGUAGGAUCUCCUGCUGCAUGUUGGGGGUUAGUGAGAUUCGGCGGUUGUGGCUGGACUCGCUGGUUACCCGCUUCUUUGUGUGGUAGUUGCUUACGAAGCCUUUGACGGCUAGCCGACCUGAGAGGGUGACCGGCCACAUGAGGACUGAGAGACGGCCCAGACUCGUACGGGAGGCAGCAGGGGAGAAUAUUGCACAAUGGGCGGAAGCCAGAUGCAACAACGCCGCGUGCGGGAUGACGGGCUUCGGGUUGAAAACCACUUUGGACUGUGCUAAAGACGGAGUGACGGUAACGGGUAAAGAAGCACCGGCUAACUACGUG